CAUAAUCUACACCAUGCAGGAUUUCCUACACCUGAGUCUACUUCUGGGGCAGGGGUCUCAUUGGCUCCUCUGUAUAUCUCAGCCCUCACUCUAGAGAAGUUGCAGACCAUACAGAGGAAGCUUAACAGCUGAACUACCAGGAAAGUGAGCAGGAAAGUGGUAUCCUUAACACUCAGGGGAAACUGGAUAUUCUCAAAGAGGGACAUAACAGAUUCAAAGGAGAAGAAGGAAAGAAAAGGCUGAAAAGCCUCAUCCCCUGGUCUUCCUCUAACAAACUGGGUGCAAUUACCAAUAAACUCCCAAAAUGUGCUACUAGGACUGGGAGGCAGGGUCGGGCGAAGAAACCAUGAGCCAAACAUACCUGACAGAAACUUCAGU